rnacentral:rRNA from 1 species
CCUACGGGUGGCAGCAGUGGGGGAUAUUGCACAAUGGGGGGAACCCUGAUGCAGCGACGCCGCGUGGGCGAUGGAGGGCUUCGGCAUGGAAAGCCCUAUCAGCAGGGAAGAAAAUGACGGUACCUGACGAAGAAGCCGAGGCGAAAUACGUGCCAGCAGCCGCGGGAAGACGUAUGGGGCGAGCGUUAUCCGGAUUUACUGGGGGUAAAGGGAGCGUAGGCGGCCUGGCCAGCCGGAUGUGAAAUAGCGGGGCCCAACCCCGUGACGGCCUGUGGAACUGCCAGGCUUGAGUGCCGGAGAGGCAUGCGGAAUUCCUAGUGUAGCGGUGCAAUGCGUAGAUAUUACG